rnacentral:snRNA from 1 species
GUGCUUGCUUCAGCGGCACAUAUACUAAAAUUGGAAUGAUACAGAGAUCAGCAUGGCCCCUGCGCAAGGAUGACAUGCAAAUUUGUGAAGUGCUCCAUAUUUUU